GAACGCUGGCGGCGUGCUUAACACAUGCAAGUCGAGCGGUAAGGCCCUUCGGGGUACACGAGCGGCGAACGGGUGAGUAACACGUGGGUGAUCUGCCUUGCACUCUGGGAUAAGCCUGGGAAACUGGGUCUAAUACCGGAUAUGAGCCUGGACUGCAUGGUCCGGGUUGGAAAGGUUUACUGGUGCGAGAUGGGCCCGCGGCCUAUCAGCUUGUUGGUGAGGUAACGGCUCACCAAGGCGACGACGGGUAGCCGACCUGAGAGGGUGACCGGCCACACUGGGACUGAGACACGGCCCAGACUCCUACGGGAGGCAGCAGUGGGGAAUAUUGCACAAUGGGCGCAAGCCUGAUGCAGCGACGCCGCGUGAGGGAUGACGGCCUUCGGGUUGUAAACCUCUUUUGACAGGGACGAAGCGCAAGUGACGGUACCUGUAGAAGAAGCACCGGCCAACUACGUGCCAGCAGCCGCGGUAAUACGUAGGGUGCGAGCGUUGUCCGGAAUUACUGGGCGUAAAGAGCUUGUAGGCGG
rnacentral:rRNA from 1 species